CUUCGGCGACCGGGCGGCGGCAGCGGCAGUGACUGGGGCUGAGGCGCCCACAGGGGCAGUAGCUACACUUGGGGAGCUGCCGUGGGGUCGGUGGCCGCUCGCAGCGCGGCGGAGGGGCGGGUCCGACGAGGAGCGGACAGCUGCGCCACGGGUGGCAUUGUGUGUCCAGGUGCUGUGCUGUGCCCGAGUAGUACCAGAAGAGAGCGAGGCUGAACCCAGAGCGCUGGGUUGCUUCAGCUGGGAAGACUUCCUUCCCCCCUGCUCCAGGCUGCUGAGCACUGAGCAGCGCUCAGAAUGGAAGCCAUCGCCAAAUAUGACUUCAAAGCUACUGCAGACGAUGAGCUGAGCUUCAAAAGGGGGGACAUCCUUAAGGUUUUAAAUGAAGAAUGUGAUCAGAACUGGUACAAGGCAGAGCUCAAUGGGAAGGACGGCUUCAUUCCCAAGAACUACAUAGAAAUGAAACCACAUCCGUAAGUUGUGCUCCACUGGUCUCCCAAGUAGGGGACCCACCGGCCUGUUCCAAAUAGUUUUUAAAAUUGAGACUGCUGGAAUGGAUAUCAUACUGUUCAUUCUGCCUUCCCAGGGAAUUAACCCAAUACAAUGAUUUUGCAUGUUUAAUAGUAGCAUGUAAUGAUAAUAUAAUAGUAGUGGUAUACUUUUUUUUUUGGCAGUACGGGGGACUGAAUUCAGACCCUCACGGUUGGUUCUACCUCUUGCGAUAUAACCACAGUAAUGGUAUACAUUUUACACUUGAUCCAAGAGCAGUAAUAAUGCUAUAUAGUUUUUUUUAAUUUUUUUAUUUUUGGCAGUGGUGGAGUUUGAACUUGCUAGGCAGGCACUCUACCACUUGAGCCACUUUGCCAGCCCUUUUUUGUGGUGGGUAUUUUUGAACUAGGGUCUCGUGAACAAUUUUCCCAGCUGACUUGCAAUGAAAUCCUCCUGAACUCUGCCUCUUGAGUAGCUAGGAUUACAGGCGUGAGCCACCCAUGCCUGACUGGUAUACAUUUUAGAUUAAUAGCCGUCAAUGAUCAUCAAAAACAGUACUUCAGCAAGGAGGGACCUACAGAGUCAUGUAAUUUGUUCUUCUUUAUCCUACAAAUUAGGAAAGUUUAUCCUACAAUUUAGAAAUGUUUUUAUUCAGUACAGUAAUUGGCGAUUAUAGCUCUCAUUGUGAAAGUGCAAAAAACUGUGGAGCAAUACAUAAGCUUGCCCCACACAUGUAGUCCUUGCAGAGGUCACAACUGGUAGCAACUAAAUGUAGGUCAGAAACUACUUAGGAACCAAAUUCUGAGCCUGUUCCAAGAAGAUAAUUUGUCUUCUGUGAAAUGAAACAAAUGAUUCAGGAGCCUCCCAUAAAACUAUCAGUUGAGUUCAUGCCCUGGCAGUAAAGUCUUAGAAAGCGUUUAUUAUAUGGCAGAGCUAUGCGAGGUGUCGGGACAUUGUGUCCACACUUAACUUAUGGUAUAUAUAAUAAAGUCCCCACAUCACUCCAGGGGUGCAUUUGAGAUCACAUCCAGGAAGUAUUAACCUGGAGAUGGAAGGUUGAGCUAGCCUGCAGGGGGAUAGAGAGAUGUUGAUUUGGGGGUGGAGGGGAGGGCGUUGAGAGGUCCUCAAGGGAACUUCUUUUUACUUUGAGAGCCAGGCAUUUCAUAAUGCUCCUAGAUAAAUGUAGCAUGGUGUGAUUUAAAAGGUAAAGACUGAUCUCAUUUGUAUAGUUUUCUUGUUUUUGUUUAGAACUUGUACUACCUUGUCUCUUCAUCAGCAUGAGUUUGAUCCCCCUGCCCCCCAAAAAUUUUAAGUUCCUUGGGAAACUUAUGUCCUCUCAUUCUGUCUUCCACUGUAAUUUGCAGCUUGCUUUUACGUAUAAUGGCUCAGUAACAUUUAGUUGAUACUUGGACUGAAUUUUUUUUUUUUU